rnacentral:rRNA from 1 species
CCUACGGGAGACAGCAGUGAGGAAUAUUGGUCAAUGGACGCAAGUCUGAACCAGCCAUGCCGCGUGCAGGAUGACGGCUCUAUGAGUUGUAAACUGCUUUUGUACGAGGGUAAACGCAGAUACGCGUAUCUGUCUGAAAGUAGCGUAUGAAUAAGGAACGGCUAACUCCGUGCCAGCAGCCGCGGUAAUACGGAGGAGACAAGCGUUAUCCGGAUUUAUUGGGGUUAAAGGGUGCGUAGGUGGUCUGUUAAGGUAGAUGUGAAAGCCCGCGGCUCAACUUCGGAAUUGCCUCUGAUACUGGCCGUCUUGAGUGUAGUUGCGUUAGGCGGCCUGUGUGGUGUAGCGG